UACGUAGGGUGCGAGCGUUGUCCGGAAUUAUUGGGCGUAAAGAGCUCGUAGGUGGUUCGGUAAGUCGGAUGUGAAAUCUCCAGGCUCAACCUGGAGGGGUCAUUCGAUACUGCCGUGACUAGAGGUCGGUAGGGGAGUGUGGAAUUCCUGGUGGAGCGGUGAAAUGCGCAGAUAUCAGGAGGAACACCCGUAGCGAAGGCGGCACUCUGGGCCGAUACUGACACUGAGGAGCGAAAGCGUGGGGAGCGAACAGG
rnacentral:rRNA from 1 species